AUACGGAGGGUGCGAGCGUUAUUCGGAAUCACUGGGCGUAAAGGACGCGUAGGCGGGUUGGCAAGUCAGAUGUGAAAUCCUACAGCUUAACUGUAGAACUGCAUUUGAAACUGCUAACCUAGAGUAUGGGAGGGGGAGAUGGAAUUAGUGGUGUAGGGGUAAAAUCCGUAGAUAUCACUAGGAAUACCGAAAGCGAAGGCGAUCUCCUGGAACAUAACUGACGCUAAGGCGUGAAAGCGUGGGGAGCAAACAGGAUUAGAAACCCUUGUAGUCC
rnacentral:rRNA from 1 species